UCUAAGGUUUUAAUAAAAACCACAUCAAACGUAAAAACACUAAAAU
rnacentral:ncRNA from 1 species